rnacentral:lncRNA from 1 species
UGGAGGUAUGGUGUGUUGUGGUGGUGAGUCUUGUGCGGUGAGUCUAAGUAGCAAUGUUGGGAGUCUGGUAUGGUGCAUUUUAUAUUUUGGGUGGUGUUGGUGACUUUGUGGGGGUGAUGGUGGUGCAAUGAAUCUUGGUGGGAAUGCGGUGGUGGUGGUGAUUUGGGUGGUGGUGGUGAGGUUGGGAAUGGUGUAUUGUUGGUUGUGUUUGGUGGUGGUGCUUGGCUAUGGUGGUUUCUGGAGGUGGAGAUGGUGGUGAGGUUGUGGGUUUGUUAUCAUUGGUGUGUUUGGUGGUAAUGGUUGUGGUGGUUUCUGGCAACGACAGAGGUGGUUGUUAGUGGCAGCGAUUUUGUUGGUAAUGAUGUCAUGUAGUUGGUGUUGGCGGUGGUUGUGAUAGUGUUGUGGCCGGGGUAGUGUUUGUGACCAAGUACUAUGGUGGAUCGGGAUUGGGUGUUUGAUGUUUGUGACCAAUUAUUUGAUCUCCUCGUAACUGAUUAUUAAUCCGUGACUUAAAUUUCGAUCAUUUUGUGAUUAAAAAAGUAAUCUGUGACAAUCAAAUUUGAAAAUAUGUGACCUGUGACCUAUAAUUUUUUGGAUUUGUAACCAAUAACAUAAACUGUGACAUAUAAAAUUGAUGUAUAAAUUGUGAUCUGUGAUCGCGAAAUAAUUUGUGACCUAUCAAAGUUUCGAUUCGUGACCUCGAAAUAAU